rnacentral:lncRNA from 1 species
GAAAAUGAAGAGGCUUCAUCAAAGUUAAACAAAUCUCCGGUUUUUGACAAGGCUUCAAACCCACUCUGAUUCUCGGCGGCGAUGUUGACGGAGACGGUGGUGGGAUUCGCCGGAAAAGCGUGGGCUUUUAGAUUGUGGGGUUUCUCUGUUCGGAUUAGUAGGGGGUUUGAUUAAGAUGAAUCUCGGUUUGGAAGAGGAUGCGUUCAGAUCUGUUAUGCUCUCCCUAUUCAUCUUUCCAUUUUUUCAGAUCUUGAACUGAUUUUAGUUCUCAGAUCUUGAACUGAUUUCAUCUCGGUUUGGAAGUGGAUGUGUUCAGAUCUGUUGUGUUUUUCGAUCUGGAUUUAUUCGUUAUUGCUCUAUUUAUUUGUUCAAAUUGGAUGUUAUCGAUGGUACUGUUAUGUCCAUCGCCGACUCUCCUCAUAUCAGACCCAGGUCGCCCCAAGGCUUCCCACAUCAAUCUCAUUAGACCCAUUUUCAGUUGCACAUCUAAUUUCGUCAAAAUCAAACUAGUCCUACUCUACUCCAAGCCUAACCUGGUAGCCUAUUCGGAAAUGGAUUCGACAAUUAUAGAGUAAGCUUCCAUUCUUAUUUGAGUAAGUCGAGUUUGGAGAUAUUGUAACUUUUACAAGGUGUGAUUUAGCAUAGAAUUAGAUAACAAACUGUUAUAGGUAUUCAAUUUUUACUGGGAUUCCAUCUAAUUAUUGAGGAUAUGCAUUGGGGCUGCUUAUUUAACUUUCGGAUUUGGUAUUGCUUUCCCUUGGUUUUUAAUUGCAUUGGGUUGUUCUGACUGAUUGAUUUGAUCAGCUUGAAAUUUUUUUGGGUUAGAGAUAACUGCAACAGAGGCUAGGUAGUUCAGUUUGGGCAGCGCACACAAGGUGCUCGACAGUUUGCCUCAGUGAGUCUUGGAAUUCAUUUUGGCUCUCUUAGGCUUAGUUUGGCAUUAUUGUAAUUCAGUCGGGAAAAUUCUAGUCAGCAAUGGAAUUCGGUUGGGAUUGGCUUGGCUGGGGUUUGAUUGUGCCUGUUCUUGGCUGGGGUUUGAUUAUGUUUGUCCCUUAAAGAUUUAUUUAUAUAAUUAUUGUUAGGAUUUAUUUAUAUAAUUGUUUUUGGUCUCCUUGCCGGAUUUUAUGGUGAUGUUUGUGCCGGAUUUUAUGGUGAUGUUUGUGCCUGUUCUUUUUUCCUUGCAAAUUCCUGUUUACCAUGGUGAGAGUAAUUAAGUCUUUAGUCAAAUAAAGUAACGGAGUUAAGACGGAAAACACUUUUUCACUUUAACUCAAAAAGUCGGGAGUUUAAAUGUAGCUUUACUGACUACAGGUGGUUAAAUAGGAAACCGUUCAAACCCCAGGUGGUCAUCUGAACUUAACCAUUUAAUCAAUACUCCUUUCUUGGAUAAGAUGACCAUGUCUGUAUUAAAACUUAUACAUAGUUUGUGUGUGUAUAUAUAUAUAUAUUGUAGCAAGAAAUUCAAAACAAAACUCUGCAAAUAAUUAUAUACUUUACCUUUUUACAACACCACAGUUUGGCAAUGCGAAACUCAUAUUACAAAAUGUACUAGAAAACAACCCAGUUAACACCAUUGACUGGAGCUUCUCUUGUUACAAUUCUCUUAUGAUUUCGUCUAUGAGUUCAUCAACCACAUGUCCCGCCACAUCCUUUAUAAUGUCAUCUGUUUCAACAUAUGCAAACAUCACCUCAUUCCACCCAAAGUCCCACAUACAGUUAAUAUUUCUAUCUGUAAUUUUGAUGUCUCUCUCGAGCAUUUUGAGCAGGUUUUCAGCAGCAUCACAUUCAUCAUGCUCAUUCAUCCCGUAGAAUUUUAACCCUUCAAAAUCCCUAUACAACUGUUUGACCAAAUCAUCUAAAGACCUUACCUUUGUGUAACUGAUGGAUAUCUUCAAGACGAGUUCUUGUUUUCGUCCUUUUCUAUUCAUUACUUCAUAAGCACAGUCUAUUGUGAGCUUAGAGACCUUAUCUUGAUAAAUCUGGUCACUAGCAUGAAGAAUGCCAACUGGUAUGUUGAGUUUGAAAAGUGCCUCUGCUGUGUUCAGGAAUAAUGGACUUUUGAUCAGUAUCUCUUUGAGGUGCUUUUCAUUUUCUGUCAAUAGCUCUUGUGUCCAUGAUGUUCGAGCUUUCUUUUUCUCUUGCUGUGGAGGGUAAGAAAUUUCCAUGCUUCCUGCAACAUCAAAGAUUAAUGUUUAAAUAUUUUUAUUUUCUCCUUUGCAAUUUAAUUAUGAAGCUGAAACCCUUGUUAUAACAUCAUAGAAGAAAUAUGUUGCUGCGGAUAAAUAAAGGCUUAAGUUCAGAAAAAGUGCUUGAUGGGACGAGCUUGUAUUUAUGUAUCAGUUUCUGCAGGUUAGGUGUUUAAGAGCAACUCCAGCAGGCCGGAGUUACGAAAAUCCUAGACUAUAGCAGAUGGACUAUAUUUAGUCCGGCCAUUUUUCCGGCAAUCCAAAAAGACUAAAUCAAGGAACGAAAAUCUCAUGGACUAUAAUUUUAAUAUUAUUAAAUGGGAGAGAGGAUAGAAGAAAAAGAAGAAGGAGAUGAAGAUCUGUGAAGAAGGAGAUGAAGGAGAAGAAGGUCUGUGAAGAAGGAGAUGAAGAAGAUGAAGUGGGAAAAAUAAAAAUAAAAAUUCAAUACAUUAAUCAACUACAAAAAAAAAUACAAUAAUUUGAAAUAAAAAAAAAUAUGUACAAUAAUCAAAACAUAAAAAAAUCUAUAAAAAAAUAACAACGGAUAGAAAUUUUUAGGGUAAUUGGAAAAUCUAUAAAUAUGUACAAUAAUUCAAUACAUUUUACAUCUUUCAAUCAACUACUCCAACAUUUAGCAAUUGUAAGUAUUUUGUUAAUAAUAAUUUGUAUUUUAUUAUAUUUGAUUUUUGUUUUUUAUUGAUAAUAUCUCUUUAAUUUAUUUUUUAGAUGGAAUAUGGUCGUUGGAAUGAAUUUUUUUUGAAUUCAUUGAUUAUUUUAAUAAUUUUAUAUUAUAGUAGUCCACAAGAUAGUCCAUCUGCUAAAAGAUUGAAGACUAAAGGACAUCUGCUGACGUCAUAUGGACUAACUAUAGUCCAGCAGAUAGUCCAUCUGCUGGAGAUGCUGGAGAUGCUCUAAACAAGAGUGGCCUAGAAGUGCUUUGAAAUUUCUUAAUAAUGAGAUAUCAUAAGUCCGUUUUCGGUAAAUAAACGGGGAAAACAUGAUGGAACACACCUUUAUAGAGGAAAAUACUAAUUGACAAGUAUUGCUGAGAGGCAAAAAAUGGGAAGACUGAUUUUCUUCUGCUAGUUAUUUAAGAAACAGAUCAACUUUAGAGAUCUGGGGACUUGUUUAUUUCAAAAUUAAUACUUACCAUCAAGUGCAUUUGCUAAAGUUUCUGGUGACUUCUGUUCUGAAUCUUCUUUGCAGACAGAUGCUUGGCGUUGGUGAUCGUUGGAAUCCUUACAAGCUUCAGAAGUUAUGUCAUGGUUCUGCAUAAUAUUCAAGGAAGGAAAAUGUGAGGAUGCUACAAAUGUUAAGAUGUAAACAGUUAUGCAUAAGAAGCAGUAUGGUAUAGUUUUAAAAACACUUUAUCAAGCCCUCAUUAUCUGUAAUUUCAUAAGCAUUUAAUAAAGUUGUGCUUACAAUGUCAUUCAAAUUUAGAGGGGAUGCUACUUUUGGACUUCUGCAUUCAUAGUCUUGGGAAUCAUUAGAAGUCACCAUCACUUCAGCUACAUCAUGCUUUUGUUGUUCUGCGUUCGGGGGUUGAGUGCUUGCUUCUAAUUUGCUUGAUUCUUUCAUGACCCCUUCUCUUUCUUUGGACCUGUCGGUACUUGGUUGUUCUGUUCCUUUUGAUCCAACGGUCUUUUCAUGUCUUCUCUGCCUCGAUUCUUGAAUAACAUUAUUAUGAUGCUUAGAAGGUCUUGCUAAGUUGUUUAGAGUUCCAUUUCUUCUGCUUACUGGUUCAUUUAUCUUGCGAGGGGUCUUAUGUCUAAGUGUUUUCAUAAUUUCUACCUUCUUCCCCGUGGCAAGGACAUGGGCAGGCUUCUUUUGAAGAAUUGGAAGCACGCUAUCUUUUGCCGUCUCUAUCUGUGAUGCUGAUUCUCUUGGAGAUGCAUUUUCGUCCAAUUUCCCAUUUAUCGAAAUUUUAGUAGAGAUUUCAUCUCCAACAAAAUCUUCAUCAUGUUUGCUAUCUGGCUUCUCUUUCAGAGGCAUUCCACCAAUAGGUUCUGUAGAACUUCUCAUAGCGACUGGUGUAUGGCUCAUAUGUGGAUUCUUCUCUUGUAAUUUUGUUGCAUCAUGCAUGGUUUUCGACGGAACCUUUGAUUUCACUGGACGUCCAUUAUGUGUUGUAGCCUGCAUAAUAGGUUUUGUGUUCUUCUGCUCUCGUCUCUUUGCUUGAUGCUUUUCUUCUUGGAGCUCAGAUUUUGGAAGCAUGUGCAACUGAUGCAAUCCACUGUCUUGCUGGACCUUUUGCUGACUUCUUUGGAUAAGCUGCUCAGAAUUUCUCUUUUCUGUUUGAAGUGCACUUUCCUUGCUCUCUAUUUUUUCUUGCAAUAUAUUUUCAGCUUCGGGGCUCCUAUGUUUCUGUAGUACUUUCUGCUGCAGUUCAUUCUUGAUGACUCGUUCCUUUGUUUCAUUUUCAUCCUUCUCUGUACCUUUUUGUUGCUUGUGCUUUGUAGAAUCCUGUCCUUUCUCCUUUUCUUGACUAUUCUUCUGAUUUUCAGGAAUUUGAUUUGAAUGGCUGAUGCUGCUUCUUGGCUUAUGUAUUGUGCUGGUGGCCUUUUCUGGACCUGAACCUUCACUAGUUCUGUGUGCCCUUCCAAAGUUCUUCCUAUGUGAAUGUUCAUCAGCAACCGCCUCUACAGAGUUCGGUUGAGGAGAUACCUGAACCUUUUCAGCUUUCAGAGAAACUGUGAAAUUUUUA